GGCACGGUGGCACAGUGAUUAGCAUUGUUGCCUCACAGCAAGAAGGUCAUAGGUUCGAAUCCGGCCUGUGGCU